GCUGGCGGCAUGCUUAACACAUGCAAGUCGAACGGAAACAGGACGCUAGGAUCCCUUCGGGGUGACUUUGUCGCUGUCGAGUGGCGGACGGGUGAGUAAUGCAUAGGAAUUUGCCUUGAAGUGGGGGAUAGCCCGGAGAAAUCCGGAUUAAUACCGCAUGCGCUCUACGGAGCAAAGCGGGCCUCUUCUUGAAAGCUCGCGCUUUGAGAUAAGCCUAUGUCGGAUUAGCUUGUUGGUAGGGUAACGGCCUACCAAGGCGACGAUCCGUAGCUGGUUUGAGAGGAUGAUCAGCCACACUGGGACUGAGACACGGCCCAGACUCCUACGGGAGGCAGCAGUGGGGAAUAUUGGACAAUGGGCGCAAGCCUGAUCCAGCAAUGCCGCGUGUGUGAAGAAGGCCUGCGGGUUGUAAAGCACUUUUAUCGGGAAAGAAAAACCCAGGGUUAAUACCCCUGGGCCUUGACGGUACCCGAAGAAUAAGCACCGGCUAACUCAGUGCCAGCAGCCGCGGUAAUACUGAGGGUGCAAGCGUUAAUCGGAAUUACUGGGCGUAAAGCGAGUGUAGGCGGCUUCGUAAGUCGGAUGUGAAAGCCCCGGGCUUAACCUGGGAAUGGCAUUCGAUACUGCGCGGCUAGAGUUUGAUAGAGG
rnacentral:rRNA from 1 species